UACAGAGGGGCCAAGCGUUAGGCGGAAUCACUGGGCUUAAAGAGCGUGUAGGCGGCCCGACAAGUCCGCUGGGAAAGUCCAGGGCUCAACCCUGGAAUGCCGGUGGAUACUGUCGGGCUAGAGUCCGGAAGGGGCGAGUGGAAUUCCUGGUGUAGCGGUGAAAUGCGCAGAUAUCAGGAGGAACACCAAUGGCGAAGGCAGCUCGCUGGGACGUGACUGUCGCUGAGACGCGAAAGCGUGGGGAGCAAACAGG
rnacentral:rRNA from 1 species